GAUGAACGCUAGCGGGAGGCCUAACACAUGCAAGCCGAGCGGUAUUGUUUCUUCGGAAAUGAGAGAGCGGCGUACGGGUGCGGAACACGUGUGCAACCUGCCUUUAUCUGGGGGAUAGCCUUUCGAAAGGAAGAUUAAUACUCCAUAAUAUAUUGAACGGCAUCGUUUAAUAUUGAAAGCUCCGGCGGAUAGAGAUGGGCACGCGCAAGAUUAGCUAGUUGGUGAGGUAACGGCUCACCAAGGCGAUGAUCUUUAGGGGGCCUGAGAGGGUGAUCCCCCACACUGGCACUGAGACACGGACCAGACUCCUACGGGAGGCAGCAGUGAGGAAUAUUGGUCAAUGGGUGCAAGCCUGAACCAGCCAUCCCGCGUGAAGGACGACUGCCCUAUGGGUUGUAAACUUCUUUUGUAUAGGGAUAAACCUACCCUCGUGAGGGUAGCUGAAGGUACUAUACGAAUAAGCACCGGCUAACUCCGUGCCAGCCGCCGCGGUAA
rnacentral:rRNA from 1 species